UUCGCAAUGCCCGAAAGGGUGACGAAGCGACGUCGCGUGGGUGAUGAAGGCCCUUGGGUCGUAAAGCCCUGUCAAGAGUUAUGAAAGCAGCUUGCUGCUUGACAAAGGCUCUAAAGGAAGUCACGGCUAACUCUGUGCCAGCAGCCGCGGUAAUACAGAGGUGGCAAGCGUUGUUCGGAAUUAUUGGGCGUAAAGAGCACGUAGGUGGUCAGAUAAGUCAGAUGUAAAAUACCUUUGCUCAACAAAGGACCUGCAUUUGAAACUGUCCGACUAGAGUACAGAAGGGGAGAAUGGAAUUUCUGAUGGAGCGGUGAAAUGUGUAGAUAUCAGAAGGAACGCCGGUGGCGAAAGCGAUUCUCUAGUAUGUAACUGACACUGAGGUGCGAAAGCUAGGGGAGCAAACAGGAUUAGAUACCCUGGUAGUCCUAGCCGUAAACGAUGGGCACUAAGUAGAGGGGUUU
rnacentral:rRNA from 1 species